rnacentral:rRNA from 1 species
GGUUUUUUGAAUAGUUAUAAUUUAAGAUUAGUUCUGCUCAAUGAUUUAAAUUAAAUAGCCGCAGUAUUUUGACUGUGCUAAGGUAGCAUAAUCAAUUGUUUUUUAAUUGAGAACUGGAAUGAAGGAAUUGAUGAGAUUGAGACUGUCUAUUAAUAAAUUAUUAAAAUUUAAAUUUUAAGUAAAAAUUCUUAAAUAAAAUUAUGGGACGAGAAGACCCUAUAGAAUUUAAUAUAAUUUUUUAAAAUAUAAAUAUAUAAAAAUUUAAUAAAAUUAAUAUUUUAUUGGGAGGAUAAUUAAAUUAAAUUAACUUUAAAUAAUAUUAAACAUUAAUUUAUGGAAAUUUGAAUAAUUUUUUUAUUAUGAUAAAUAAAAUUAAUAAAAAAUUAAUUACCUUAGGGAUAACAGCGUAAUAUUUUUAAAAAGAUCAUAUUGAUAAAAAUGUUUGCGACCUCGAUGUUGAAUUAAAAUAAAAAUUAAAUGAAGAAGUUUAAUAUUUUAGUCUGUUCGACUAUUAAAAUUUUA